UCGGGAAUUUUGCUCAAUGGGCGAAAGCCUGAAGCAGCAACGCCGCGUGAGGGAUGAAGGCCUUCGGUUGUAAACCUCUUUCUCAGGACGAUAAUGACGGUACCUGAGGAAUAAGCCACGGCUAACUACGUGCCAGCAGCCGCGGUAAUACGUAGGUGGCAAGCGUUGUCCGGAUUCACUGGGCGUAAAGAGCGCGCAGGCGGCCGAGUAAGUCGAAUGUGAAAGCCCCCGGCUCAACUGGGGAAGGUCAUUCGAUACUGUUCGGCUCGAAGAUAGGAGAGGGAAGCGGAAUUUCAGGUGUAGUGGUGAAAUGCGUAGAUAUCUGAAGGAACACCAGUGGCGAAGGCGGCUUUCUGGCCUAUUCUUGACGCUGAGGCGCGAAAGCUAGGGGAGCGAACGGGAUUAGAUACCCCCGGUAGUCCUAGCCGUAAACGAUGAACACUAGAUGUUGGUGGUAUCAACCCCGCAGUGUCGUAGCUAACGCAUUAAGUGUUCCG
rnacentral:rRNA from 1 species